rnacentral:rRNA from 1 species
ACGCACGCUGGCGGCCUGCCUAACACAUGCAAGUCGAACGAGACCUUCGGGUCUAGUGGCGCACGGGUGCGUAACGCGUGGGAACCUGCCCUUAGGUUCGGAAUAACUCCCCGAAAGGGGUGCUAAUACCGGAUAAUGUCUUCGGACCAAAGAUUUAUCGCCUUUGGAUGGGCCCGCGUUGGAUUAGCUAGUUGGUAGGGUAAAAGCCUACCAAGGCGACGAUCCAUAGCUGGUCUGAGAGGAUGAUCAGCCACACUGGGACUGAGACACGGCCCAGACUCCUACGGGAGGCAGCAGUGGGGAAUAUUGGACAAUGGGCGAAAGCCUGAUCCAGCAAUGCCGCGUGAGUGAUGAAGGCCUUAGGGUUGUAAAGCUCUUUUACCCGGGAUGAUAAUGACAGUACCGGGAGAAUAAGCUCCGGCUAACUCCGU